CAUGGGCUCUGGCACUUAGGCAGCCCGGCACAGACAGAGCGAGAUAGCGCUGCAAAGAGAGGAAGAAAGGAAGAAAGAAGGGGGCUGUCUCGGGGACAAUUCUCUGAGCAGCAACUUUCACAGCCAAUGCAGCCUCUGGUACUAUGGAAACUAAACCCCUGACCAAUGGAAAUAAUGGUGGCUACAAUGUGGCAGGAAGCUAGAGGUAGCCUCACCUCUGACGGCAGCCCAGAAGUCACCUGGCCCAUCUCUUAGGAAACUCACACAGCAGGUCACUGAGGGGCAUGAGAGCCUUGUCGGAGGCCAGCGCUGUUGCUUGCCGGACCCAGUGCUGGU